CAAUAGCGUAUAUUUAAGUUGUUGCAGUUAAAAAGCUCGUAGUCGGAUUUUGGCUGAGAACGAUCGGUCCGCCGUUAGGUGUGCACUGAUUGGUCUCAGCUUCCUGGUGAGGAGGUGUGCUUCACGGCCACUUAGUCACCGUGGUUACUUUGAAAAAAUUAGAGUGUUCAAAGCGGGCUUACGCUUGAAUAUAUUAGCAUGGAAUAACACCAUAGGAAUCCUGUCCUAUUUCGUUGGUCUCGGGACGGGAGUAAUGAUUAAGAGGAACAGUUGGGGGCAUUCGUAUUUCAUUGUCAGAGGUGAAAUUCUUGGAUUUAUGAAAGACGAACUUCUGCGAAAGCAUUUGCCAAGGAUGUUUUCAUUGA
rnacentral:rRNA from 1 species